CCUACGGGAGGCUGCAGUGAGGAAUAUUGGUCAAUGGGCGUAAGCCUGAACCAGCCAAGUAGCGUGAGGGAUGACUGCCCUACGGGUUGUAAACUUCUUUUAUAAGGGAAUAAAGUGCGGCACGUGUGCCUUUUUGUAUGUACUUUAUGAAUAAGGAUCGGCUAACUCCGUGCCAGCAGCCGCGGUAAUACGGGGGAUCCGAGCGUUAUCCGGAUUUCUUGGGUUUAAAGGGAGCGUAGAUGGGUUGUUAAGUCAGGUGUGAAAGUUUGCGGCUCAACCGUAAAAUUGCAAUUGAUACUGGCAGCCUUGAGUAAAGUUGAGGUAGGCGGAAUUCGUGGUGUAGCCGUGAAAUGCUUAGAUAUCAAGACGAACUCCGAUUGCGAAGGCAGCCUACUAAAGUGAUACUGA
rnacentral:rRNA from 1 species